UACGGAGGGUGCAAGCGUUAUCCGGAUUCACUGGGUUUAAAGGGUGCGUAGGUGGGUCUGUAAGUCCGUGGUGAAAUCUCCAAGCUUAACUUGGAAACUGCCAUGGAUACUAUAGGUCUUGAAUACCGUGGAGGUGAGCGGAAUAUGUCAUGUAGCGGUGAAAUGCUUAGAUAUGACAUAGAACACCAGUUGCGAAGGCAGCUCACUACACGAAUAUUGACACUGAGGCACGAAAGCGUGGGGAUCAAACAGG
rnacentral:rRNA from 1 species